GAGAAGGAGGGGAACCUGUGUGCAGGCAACAUGACUUCACUAAUGCUGGGACUUUUCUGCUGCAUUGGAAUUCUGACAUCAGGGACUUUCUCACAGAUUCGGUCAAGGGGCCCCUCUGUAAUGAGUCCUGUGGUCCAGCGAGUGUCCCCGCAAGUCACCGCAAGGCUCUACCAGCACUUUGAAGACGGGAAAUCUGUUGAACAGACAUCUGAUGAAGUUCCAAGUGCUGAAAUUUUUCAGCAGCUUCCUCGAAGUGAUGAUUACAGUGCCCAAGGUGUCCAGCAGCAGCAGCUGCACAUUGCCACCAACAUCCAGGCACAAGACAGGAGGAGAAGUGACAGUGCAGCUGGCGGGAGAAAUUCCAAGUUGUAUCGCUAUCAGCCGACCCAGCAACCACGACCAAGGCUCUCCUCACAACUGCAACACAGUGCUGCACCAUUCACAUCAUGGCAGGCCGCUGCAGACUCAAGUGUGUCCCCUGUAUUCAGCAGGACUGCCGCAGCAAUAAGAUCCAACUGCAGGAAUCGGCCUAUAGACCUCGUCUUUAUCAUAGACAGUUCCCGCAGUGUGCGUCCUGCUGAGUUUGUGAAGGCCAAGGAGUUCCUGGAAGAUAUGGUGGACAGCUUGGAAAUCGGGCCUGACGCUACACGAGUUGGCCUCGUCAAUUAUGCCAGCACAGUGCAAAUUGAGUUCCUGCUCAAUACGUAUUCUCACAAAUCUGCCCUAAAGCAGGCACUGGCUCGAGUUGAGCCCCUCGCUUCGGGCACCAUGACAGGCUUGGCCAUCAAGACUGCUAUGGAAAAAGCAUUCACCGCAGAGGCAGGGGCCAGAGUUAGUUCCAGAAAUAUUGCAAAAGUGGCCUUCAUAUUGACAGACGGGAGGCCCCAGGACAAGGUGGACGAAGUGUCAGCUGCAGCUCGCGCAUCUGGGAUAGAGAUCUACGCGGUGGGAGUAGACAGAGCUGAUUUGAUGUCCCUCCGCCUUAUGGCCAGCCAACCACAUGAUGACCAUGUCUUCUACGUGGAGACCUAUGGUGUUAUUGAGAAGCUUACUUCCAAAUUUAGGGAAACCUUGUGUGGUAAGGAUGAUGAUGAUGACGGGAGUGCAGACACUCCAUUAAAUGGUGGAAAUGAUGAUUAUGAACUAGGCCUAGAUCGCAGGAAAGACCAAAAUGGAAUAAAUACUGAAAAUGACGAUAAAGGAAACAAUGGUGUGGAUGCAUGUGCACAGGGACACAAUUGCCAGCAUAUUUGUGUCAGCAGUGGAAACUCAUACCAUUGCAAGUGUCGCUUGGGCUAUGUCUUAAACCCUGACAAGAAAACAUGCUCACGUUCACAUGCAUGUGCCCAGGGUCAUGACUGCCAACAUAUUUGUGUCAACAAUGGUGACUCAUACACCUGCUGGUGUCAAGUGGGACAUGUGUUGAAUGCAGACCAGAGAACAUGUUCACGUUCUGAGCCAUGUGCCAAUGGACAUGACUGCCAGCACAUUUGUCUUAACAGUGAUGACUCGUACAUCUGCAAGUGUCGAGUCGGAUAUGUGUUGAAUACAGACCAGAAAACAUGCUCACAUUCAGAUUCAUGUGCGCUGGGACAUGACUGUCAACAAAUCUGUGUCGGUGAAUACAACUCAUACACGUGCAAGUGUCAAGAAGGAUAUGUGUUGAAUGCAGAUCAAAAAACAUGCACAAGUUUGGAUGCUUGUGACCAAGAACAUGAGUGCCAACACAUUUGUGUCCAAAGUCGCUAUUCUUACAUUUGCAAGUGUCGUGAAGGAUUUGUGCUGAAUAUCGACCAGAAAACAUGCUCACGUUCAGAUUCAUGUUCCCACAUAAAUGACUGCCAACAUAUUUGUGUCAAUAAUAAUGACUCAUACAUCUGCAAAUGUCGAGAGGGAUAUGUGUUGAAUGCAGACCAGAAAACAUGCUCACGUUCAGAUAUAUGUGGCCGAGGACAUGAUUGCCAACAUAUUUGUGUCGACAGUGAUGACUCUUACAUCUGCAAGUGUCGAGCAGGAUAUGUGUUGAAGGCAGACAGGAAAACAUGCUCACUUUCUGCUUCAGGUGCAUGUGCCCAGGGACAUGACUGCCAGCACAUAUGUGUCAACAGUGGGAACUCGUACAUGUGCAAGUGUCCAGCGGGUUAUGUGUUGAAUGCAGAUAAGAAAACGUGUUCACGUAAGAACUUAGACUUUUCUCGUAGAUGUGUUCAGCAUUUGCCUCAAAAUUAAUAGGUGCUUGAUCAUGGUAUUCCAUCAUUGUUUCUUUUGUCUACUAAAGGUUUCUCUGAAUGAUUAAUACAGUUAGAUGUGGGAUUGUCUCUUUGCAGGUUCAGAUAUAUGUGGCCGAGGACAUGACUGCCAACAUAUUUGUGUCGACAGUGAUGACUCUUACAUCUGCAAGUGUCGAGCAGGAUAUGUGUUGAAGGCAGACAAGAAAACAUGCUCACUUUCUGCUUCAGAUGCAUGUGCCCAGGGACACGACUGCCAGCACAUAUGUGUCAACAGUGGGAACUCGUACAUGUGCAAGUGUCGAGUGGGAUAUGUCCUGAAUGUGAAUCGCAAAACAUGCUCACGCUCAAAUUCAUGCGCUCACGGACAUAACUGUCAACAUAUUUGUAUCAACAAUGGUGAUUCCUUCAGCUGCAAGUGUCGAUCCGGAUAUGUGCUAAAUGCCGACCAGAUAACAUGCUCACAGGAAAUGAGAGGUGAAAUAAGUCAAGACGCCUGCAUGUGUGAAGCUCAGAUUGCCUUCCAGAGAAAAGUACAGUUGACCAUUCAGGAGCUGAGCAGAA